rnacentral:ribozyme from 13 species
AGGUGCCAUGCCUUUGUCUUUCUUCUCUUUCUUCUCUUUCUUUUCUCUCUUAUCUCUCUUAUCUUUUCGACUUUGUCGAGAGGCAUCUUUAUUAGAGGAGCCGCGAGGGGUUGAGGGUCCACCACGGCGAGGGCUGUUGAGAGAUUUGAAAGAAAAAGUACCUAAAGAAGCAGAAGAUUUUGCUUUGUCUUGGUUAUGAAAAGCAGAUCGGUAAGAAAGAGCCUUCACAUCUUCUUGACUAUUCAG